GGGCGCAUAGCGCAGUGGUAGCGCGCAUGCUUUGCAACAACAUGAUUACAUAAGCAUUUGUAAUCAAACGUGUAUGAGGUCCAGGGUUCAAUCCCCUGUGCGUCCA
rfam:Hydnomerulius pinastri MD-312 unplaced genomic scaffold scaffold_20, whole genome shotgun sequence.